rnacentral:rRNA from 1 species
CCUACGGGAGGCAGCAGUGGGGAAUAUUGCGCAAUGGGCGAAAGCCUGACGCAGCGACGCCGCGUGAGGGAUGAAGGUCUUCGGAUCGUAAACCUCUGUCAGCAGGGAAGAACGGUCACUGUGCUAAUCAGCAGUGAAUUGACGGUACCUGCAAAGGAAGCACCGGCUAACUCCGUGCCAGCAGCCGCGGUAAUACGGAGGGUGCGAGCGUUAAUCGGAAUUACUGGGCGUAAAGCGCUCGUAGGUGGUAUGUCAAGUCAAGGGUGAAAUCCCCGCGCUCAACGUGGGAACUGCCUUUGAAACUGGCAAACUGGAGUGUGUGAGAGGAUAGUGGAAUUCGAGGUGUAGGAGUGAAAUGCGUAGAUAUCUGGAGGAACAUCAGUGGCGAAGGCGACUAUCUGGCACAUAACUGACGCUGAGGAGCGAAAGCGUGGGUAGCAAACAGGAUUAGAUACCCGGGUAGUC